AUUGAACGCUGGCGGCAGGCUUAACACAUGCAAGUCGAGCGGAGUGAUGGUGCUUGCACUAUCACUUAGCGGCGGACGGGUGAGUAAUGCUUAGGAAUCUGCCUAUUAGUGGGGGACAACAUCUCGAAAGGGAUGCUAAUACCGCAUACGUCCUACGGGAGAAAGCAGGGGAUCUUUAUGACCUUGCGCUAAUAGAUGAGCCUAAGUCGGAUUAGCUAGUUGGUGGGGUAAAGGCCUACCAAGGCGACGAUCUGUAGCGGGUCUGAGAGGAUGAUCCGCCACACUGGGACUGAGACACGGCCCAGACUCCUACGGGAGGCAGCAGUGGGGAAUAUUGGACAAUGGGGGGAACCCUGAUCCAGCCAUGCCGCGUGUGCGAAGAAGGCCUUAUGGUUGUAAAGCACUUUAAGCGAGGAGGAGGCUUACCUAGUUAAUACCUGGGAUAAGUGGACGUUACUCGCAGAAUAAGCACCGGCUAACUCUGUGCCAGCAGCCGCAGUAA
rnacentral:rRNA from 1 species